GCCGAAAUAGCUCAGUUGGGAGAGCGUUAGACUGAAGAUCUAAAGGUCCCUGUGUGCUGUAUUGCAUCAGCUAUGCGUGGUGUUGUCU
rnacentral:tRNA from 1 species